CCAAACUUGGUCAUUUAGAGGAAGUAAAAGUCGUAACAAGGUCUCCGUAGGUGAACCUGCGGAGGGAUCAUUAACACUAUUUGGCUGUAGUGCACGCAAGUGCCUGCAGUUCAAAUUCUAACCACACUGUUGAACUCGGUUACCUCGCGUAACCAAUCCUCCCUUUGAAUUGGAAGCGUUAAUGUUAGUUUGUAGUGGGAUGAGCAAUCAUCGACUAACAUUAGCUAUCAAAGCUUGACUUUGAAGUUUCCUUUUCUUAGGCAAUUCCACUUAAAAUUUCCUCCACUAUAGAAAUGAACCCAUUUCACACCUUCGUACUCCAAUUGACUGAUCAAAGAAUGCUAAAGAGACCCGCAAGGGAAUCGAUAGCAGGACUAAGAUAAUUCUUAAACUAAGCACAACUCUUAGCAACGGAUAUCUUGGCUCUCGCAUCGAUGAAGAACGCAGC
rnacentral:misc_RNA from 1 species